UGCGUAGGCGGCUUAGUAAGUCAGAGGUGAAAGUUCUGGGCUUAACCGAGGAAUUGCCUUUGAAACUGCUAAGCUUGAAUUAGGAUGAGGUAGGCGGAAUGUGACAUGUAGCGGUGAAAUGCAUAGAUAUGUCAUAGAACACCAAUUGCGAAGGCAGCUUACUGGACCUUAAUUGACGCUGAGGCACGAAAGCGUGGGGAGCGAACAGGAUUAGAUACCCUGGUAGUCC
rnacentral:rRNA from 1 species